rnacentral:tRNA from 1 species
GGGCGAAUGGUCUAGGGGUAUGAUACUCCCUUCGCAUAUCCAAAGAUUCCAUCUUUGGAAAAUAGUGUCUGGGAGGGGUCCGGGGUUCAAUUCCCCGUUCGUCCA